rnacentral:tRNA from 1 species
UGGCUCAGUUUGUAGAGCGUGGUGUUUGCAACGCCAGGGUUGUGGGUUCGAUACCCAC